rnacentral:rRNA from 1 species
AUUGAACGCUGGCGGCAGGCUUAACACAUGCAAGUCGAGCGGAGAUGAGGUGCUUGCACCUUAUCUUAGCGGCGGACGGGUGAGUAAUGCUUAGGAAUCUGCCUAUUAGUGGGGGACAACAUUCCGAAAGGAAUGCUAAUACCGCAUACGUCCUACGGGAGAAAGCAGGGGAUCUUCGGACCUUGCGCCAAUAGAUGAGCCUAAGUCGGAUUAGCUAGUUGGUGGGGUAAAGGCCUACCAAGGCGACGAUCUGUAGCGGGUCUGAGAGGAUGAUCCGCAACACUGGGACUGAGACACGGCCCAGACUCCUACGGGAGGCAGCAGUGGGGAAUAUUGGACAAUGGGGGGAACCCUGAUCCAGCCAUGCCGCGUGUGUGAAGAAGGCCUUAUGGUUGUAAAGCACUUUAAGCGAGGAGGAGGCUACUGAGACUAAUACUCUUGGAUAGUGGACGUUACUCGCAGAAUAAGCACCGGCUAACUCUGUGCCAGCAGCCGCAGUAACAC